rnacentral:rRNA from 1 species
ACUGAACGCUGGCGGAAUGCUUUACACAUGCAAGUCGAGCGGCAUCGCGGGGGCAACCCUGGCGGCGAGCGGCGAACGGGUGAGUAACAUAUCGGAACGUACCCUAUCGUGGGGGAUAACACAUCGAAAGAUGUGCUAAUACCGCAUACGACCUGAGGGUGAAAGCAGGGGAGCGCAAGACCUUGCGCGACAGGAGCGGCCGAUAUCGGAUUAGCUAGUUGGUGAGGUAAAAGCUCACCAAGGCGACGAUCCGUAGCUGGUCUGAGAGGACGACCAGCCACACUGGAACUGAGACACGGUCCAGACUCCUACGGGAGGCAGCAGUGGGGAAUUUUGGACAAUGGGGGCAACCCUGAUCCAGCCAUUCCGCGUGAGUGAAGAAGGCCUUCGGGUUGUAAAACUCUUUCGGCAGGAACGAAACGGUGAGCUCUAACAUAGCUUGCUAAUGACGGUACCUGAAGAAGAAGCACCGGCUAACUACGUGCCAGCCGCCGCGGUAAAAC